GAUGUAGCUCAGUGGUAGAGUGCCUACUUAGCAUGCACCAUGCCCUGGGUUCCAUUUCCAGAACCAUCA
rnacentral:tRNA from 1 species